rnacentral:rRNA from 1 species
GAUCCUGGCUUAGGAUGAACGCUGGCGGCGUGCCUAACACAUUCAAGUCGAACGAACCGUAGAAAUACGGUGAGUGGCGGACGGGUGAGUAACGCGUAAGCAAUCUGCCUUUGUGUGUGGAAUAACAACCGGAAACAGUUGCUAAUACCGCAUAACGCACAGAGAUCGCAUGUUUUUUGUGCCAAAGAUUUAUCGCACGAAGAUGAGCUUGCGUCCGAUUAGAUAGUUGGCGGGGUAACGGCCCACCAAGUCGACGAUCGGUAGCCGGACUGAGAGGUUGAACGGCCACAUUGGAACUGAGAUACGGUCCAGACUCCUACGGGAGGCAGCAGGUGGGGAAUAUUGGGCAAUGGACGAAAGUCUGACCCAGCGACGCCGCGUGAGGGAAGAAGGUCUUCGGAUUGUAAACCUUAGUCAACAGGGACGAAGCAAGUGACGGUACCUGUGGAGGAAGCCACGGCUAACUACGUGCCAGCAGCGGC